rnacentral:rRNA from 1 species
UACGUAGGGGGCUAGCGUUAUCCGGAUUUACUGGGCGUAAAGGGUGCGUAGGCGGUCUUUCAAGUCAGGAGUGAAAGGCUACGGCUCAACCGUAGUAAGCUCUUGAAACUGUAAGACUUGAGUGCAGGAGAGGAGAGUGGAAUUCCUAGUGUAGCGGUGAAAUGCGUAGAGAUGUGGAGGAACACCAGUGGCGAAGGCGCUUCUCUGGACUGUAACUGACGCUGAGGCUCGAAAGCGUGGGGAGCAAACAGGAUUAGAUACCCUGGUA